GCCCUCUCCACUCCACGCAGACCCGAGGGCAGGUGCUGGGAGUUCUAGCCGCAGUUGCGUACAACAAGCUGUUCUUCUGGGACGUCCUGGUCUCCCUAUGUAGUCCAGCCUGGCCUUGGUGAUCCUCUUACCUCAAGCUUCCAAGUGCUGGGAUUGAAGUGUGUGCCAUUAUACUCAGUGCUGGAGAUCAGACACUGGGCCUCGUGUAUGCCAGGCAAGCAUGCUGCUACUGAGACAUAACCCCCGCAGCCUUGACAUCUUGUUUUAAAAAGGAACUUCCAUAUUGUAACCAACAUGAGAAAAUCAGAAACUUUCUGCAUUAAGGUGUUAUUUCAACUUUGCAAAUUACAUAUCCUGACUGCUUUGCAUUACUAUGAGAUUCUGAAUCUCUUCUUCUGGCUCUGGAGGAAGAGUGUUAUGAUUCCUACUUUAUUAUAGAAUGAAGCAA